rnacentral:rRNA from 1 species
GAUGAACGCUGGCGGCGUGCCUAAUACAUGCAAGUCGAGCGAACAGAUGAGGAGCUUGCUCCUCUGACGUUAGCGGCGGACGGGUGAGUAACACGUGGAAAACCUACCUAUAAGACUGGGAUAACUUCGGGAAACCGGAGCUAAUACCGGAUAAUAUAUUGAACCGCAUGGUUCAAUAGUGAAAGACGGUUUUGCUGUCACUUAUAGAUGGACCCGCGCCGCAUUAGCUAGUUGGUAAGGUAACGGCUUACCAAGGCAACGAUGCGUAGCCGACCUGAGAGGGUGAUCGGCCACACUGGAACUGAGACACGGUCCAGACUCCUACGGGAGGCAGCAGUAGGGAAUCUUCCGCAAUGGGCGAAAGCCUGACGGAGCAACGCCGCGUGAGUGAUGAAGGUCUUCGGAUCGUAAAACUCUGUUAUUAGGGAAGAACAAAUGUGUAAGUAACUAUGCACGUCUUGACGGUACCUAAUCAGAAAGCCACGGCUAACUACGUG